UGGGUGGAAAUUAUACCGGCACCACAGUGUAAUAUUGAUCUCACUGUUUCCCUAUAAUAAGGAAUUAAAGAAUAGUGAUGCUGUUUACCGUGUUUAUAUCAGAUGUUUACUGUAAAUGAUUCACUUUUAGUAUUUUAGCUUUUGCAGCAAGCUGUCAAAUAAAGCCUGGAUCGUUAAAUUCUUGUAAUAGUUGUAGCUGAACAGACGGAUAGAUUCAAAUCAAGUCUCGUGUCGAGCAGACGAUCAAGACACCCUAUAUGUCACACCGCCCUCUACAUGCAUUCAGACGUGUAUAUCUACCACAUAUCUAAGAUUUCAUUGUUUUAUUUAUAGUGUGAAAUAAGAAGGGGAAGUUGACAUGCCAGCUAACAGAAACUUGACGUUAGAUUUAAAGCCAGAACCAGGAGUAAGAAUGGCUGCCUUAGUAGGAAAGUGGAAGUUUGAAUCGGCCGAUAAUUUGGAUGGAUUUAUGCAAAAAUUGGGAAUCCCAGAAAAUAUGAGAGAAAUGGCUAAAUCUGGUAAACCAGAAGUUGAACUCGGUCAAGAUGGCGAUCAGUGGUCAAUUAAAACAUGUAUUGGUGAUAAAGUAAAA